rfam:Triticum aestivum genome assembly, contig: Triticum_aestivum_CS42_TGACv1_scaffold_095627_2AL
AUUAUACUUCCUCCAUUCCAAAUUACUCGUCGUAAAAAAUGGAUGUAUCUAGAACUAAAAUACAUCUAGAUACAUCCAUACCCGCGACAAGUAAUUCGGAACAGAGGGAGUAGAUA